AGCCGUACGCAAAGCGCCUCCGCUAGCGAUCUAGCCAAGUUAAGUAGAUUUGCUGUUCUCGGCUCAAACAGCGUAGAUAGCAUUCAGUCUUCAUCUGAACAUCGGUUCAGAAACUUGCGCGUUUCUAAUAAGUCGGCACGAUAAAUUCGAUACAGUGGCGUAGUUAAAGUUUACUGAAAUAAAAGUAACGAAAUAAAAUUGAGAAUUCGUUGAACAAGUGAUCAAGUGCAGAAAUUCGAUUUCGAUUGAAUUUUACGAAACUGGCGAUUCUGGUAAUUGUUUUGCGUUUGAAAACAAGUCGGACGUGUUUAGUUUCUGUUACAAUUCUUUGUGCCAGAGCGCAGACGCGCUUACAAGUUAGCACUUCUAUGAGGACAUUUGCAUUUACAUAAAUAUAAAUAUAUGUAUAUUUAAGCGCAAGUCAGCGUGAUUUUGUGCAAUAAGUGGCAAACUCUGAAGAAAAAACUAAAUUUUCGAAAAGAAGAAAAAAACUUCAAAAUAAGUAUAAACAAUUCAAGUUGCUUUCGUUCGUGGUGCAUAACAAGUUCCUGAUUCAUUGCUUACGAUUUUUGUAUAGUCGAAAGGUCAACGACGACGCGACGGUAGAACUUUUUAUUUGCGGUUUGCUUUCGUGAUUUGUAUCAUUUCGAAAAUUCUUGAAGCCGGCUUCAUAAUUUGUUGUUUCGCGUAAGUAGCAAAAAAGUGAUUGUGCAUAAAAAAUAGUGUUGUUUUUGUGUUGCAACUCGAGAACAAGGAAGCCUGUAAAAAAUUUAAAGUUAAACUUGAAACCAAAACUGCAAGUGUAGAUCGAGAUUUGAGCAGCUGGUAUUUUCCGCUUACUUAACAACGCACAGAAUUUAUGACUUU